rnacentral:rRNA from 1 species
GGUGGUAGUAGCAAAUAUUCAAAUGAGAACUUUGAAGACUGAAGUGGAGAAAGGUUCCAUGUGAACAGCAGUUGGACAUGGGUUAGUCGAUCCUAAGAGAUAGGGAAAUUCCGUUCGGAUAGAUGUCUUUUUCGGAGGACAUCGUCUAUCGAAAGGGAAUCAGGUUAAUAUUCCUGAACCGGGACGUGGAUAAUGUGUGGUAACACAAAUGAAAUUGGACACGUCGGCAUGAGCCCCGAGAAGAGUUCUCUUUUCUUUUUAACAUUCUAUACACCCUGAAAUCGACUUGCUCGGCGCUAGGGUAUGAUGAAUGGCAAAGCAUCUUAAUCUUUGAGGUGUUCGGUGCGCUCAUGACGGCCCUUGAAAAUCCAAUGGAGAGAUUUAUUUACACCCCCGGUCGUACUCAUAACCGCAUCAGGUCUCCAAGGUGAGAAGCCUCUAGUUGAUAGAAGAAUGUAGAUAAGGGAAGUCGGCAAAUUAGAUCUGUAACUUCGGGAUAAGGAUUGGCUCUGAGGAUAAUUUUCGUGUGGGGUGGUUCCGGCGAUGACGGCCGAGCCAGUUGUGGUCUGCUUGCUUCGGCCUGCGGAUCGCUUCUCAGCGAAGCCUGAUUCUGUUCGGACCGCCACUCUGCACAUGUUUAUGGCAACAUAAUCACAAAUCAACUCUGAACUGGAGCAGACUAGGGGAAUCCGACUGUUUAAUUAAAACAAAGUGUUGUGAUGGCCUCAGCAGGUGUUGACACAACUUGAUUUCUGCCCAGUGCUCUGAAUGUCAAACUGGAGAUAAUAUGAGAAGCACAAAUUCAAGCAAGCGCGGGUAAACGGCGGGAGUAACUAUGAC